ensembl:lncRNA
GCAGGAGUAGUGAGAAGCACUGACACAGUUGACAAGGGCGGAUGUGCUCGACUGCACCUGGCGCAUACUGAAGAGGGUGAUUGCUAACUCCCUGGCAAAGAACCUCAAUUGGAGGGGAGUCGAUGGAAAGACUUCACUGGCCACUCUCAAACUUGGAGAGGUCAUGAUUGAAACCUCUUCACGGCUAAAGCUGCAGAGAUGGAGGUUGAGGGGACCAUGAAGAGGUGGCUCCAGCUGGCAUCAGAUCGAGAGUGCGGGUGCAAGAGAAGACUUUUGAAAACUUUUGCAAAAAGAAGGUAUUUAGAGUGUUUUAACUGUGGACUCUUUGUUAAUUUGUUAAAAUGUUCAUAUUAUAGUCUAUUUUUGAUUGUUUAUAAAAGUCCUUGCUGUUUUUAAAUGGUUGAAUUUGUGUGUGUGUGUGUGUGUGUUGGUAGCUGGGUGGCUAUACAGUUGCGGUCGG